AGAAUUAUAGGCUAAUUCCAUUGUUGCAAUAAUCUUCCAAGGAAAAACAUGCUGGUGGCUGUAACCGAGAAUUAUACUGAUAGGAAUAUGGUAAUGGACUUUAGAUAUAUAACGGGCCAUGACAAUAAUCAAACUCUCUACAUCCCAUAGAAAGAAAGAAAAAAAAAGACUGAAGGGUUAGAACACAAUUCUCCACCCCCACCCCAAAAAAAAUUACAACAACAAAAAAGAAAUGGAACAACACUCUUUGUGUUUUUAGGGUUGGACAAUUAAAACUAAAAAGUAAAAAAGAAAACGAAAUUUGUAGUAAUUUUGUAAUUCUACCUUCUACUACAUUGACUUUGUUUUUCUUUUCAUAUCCAUCAAGUAUACCAUGCAUUAAUCUCAUCUUCCUGGGAACAAGACAAAACUUACGGAUAACAAUCAGACAUUACCAGGCCAGGGACCAAACAAUAAAGCCUAAUACCGGUGAAACAACUUAUAGAGACUUGACAAAGAAGCCAUUCACGAGGCACCUGGAGGAUUAUCAUGCCCCAUUCCAGGGCUAUGUCCUGGAGUAACCGUUGGCGUAUCAUUUGUUUCAUACUUGUUGGAACUGUUAAAUGAAAUCUCCCUAUGUAUAAUCUCAACUGGAGGAGGUUGAGAAAAUUUUGAAAACCUUGAUGCAUCUGCCAACUCAAAUUGUUGAAGAGCAAGGGAAAGAAAUAUGUAUAAAACAAGCAUAAAAAUGAUUUUGUGAUGUGAUGAUGCCAUUGAACAAAAUGAUUUUAGCUUGAUAGAGAAGUGAAUAACAAGAUGGCUAGCUUAAACCACUUUUAGGCUUGAAGAAG
rnacentral:lncRNA from 1 species